rnacentral:rRNA from 1 species
AGAUUAGCUUGCUUUAGCUGUCAGCUAAGUGGCGCACGGGUGAGUAAUGUAUAGAUAACCUGCCCUUAAGAAAGGAAUAACAGUUGGAAACGACUGCUAAUGCCCUAUAUGCCUUUAAUACAUAAGUAUGCAAGGGAAACGCUUUAGUGCUUAAGGAUGGGUCUGUAUGGUAUCAGCUUGUUGGUGAGGUAAUGGCUCACCAAGGCUAUGACGCCUAACUGGUUUGAGAGGAUGAUCAGUCACACUGGAACUGAGACACGGUCCAGACUCCUACGGGAGGCAGCAGUGGGGAAUAUUGCACAAUGGACGAAAGUCUGAUGCAGCAACGCCGCGUGGAGGAUGACACAUUUCGGUGCGUAAACUCCUUUUAUAUAGGAAGAUAAUGACGGUACUAUAUGAAUAAGCACCGGCUAACUCCGUGCCAGCAGCCGCGGUAAUACGGAGGGUGCAAGCGUUACUCGGAAUCACUGGGCGUAAAGAGCGUGUAGGCGGGUAUAUAAGUCAGAAGUGAAAUCCUAUAGCUUAACUAUAGAACUGCUUUUGAAACUGUAUACCU